UACGAAGGGUCCAAGCGUUAUCCGGAUUUAUUGGGUUUAAAGGGUGCGUAGGCGGCUUAUUAAGUCAGUGGUGAAAGACUUCAGCUUAACUGAAGAACUGCCAUUGAUACUGAUGAGCUUGGAUAUAGUUGAGGUUGGCGGAAUGUGUCAUGUAGCGGUGAAAUGCUUAGAUAUGACACAGAACACCGAUUGCGAAGGCAGCUAGCUAAACUAUGAUUGACGCUGAUGCACGAAAGCGUGGGGAGCAAACAGG
rnacentral:rRNA from 1 species